GUGGGGAAUCUUAGACAAUGGGGGAAACCCUGAUCUAGCCAUGCCGCGUGAGCGAUGAAGGCCUUAGGGUUGUAAAGCUCUUUCAGCUGGGAAGAUAAUGACGGUACCAGCAGAAGAAGCCCCGGCUAACUCCGUGCCAGCAGCCGCGGUAAUACGGAGGGGGCUAGCGUUGUUCGGAAUUACUGGGCGUAAAGCGCGCGUAGGCGGACCAGAAAGUUGGAGGUGAAAUCCCAGGGCUCAACCUUGGAACUGCCUUCAAAACUCCUGGUCUGGAGUUCGAGAGAGGUGAGUGGAAUUCCGAGUGUAGAGGUGAAAUUCGUAGAUAUUCGGAGGAACACCAGUGGCGAAGGCGGCUCACUGGCUCGAUACUGACGCUGAGGUGCGAAAGCGUGGGGAGCAAACAGGAUUAGAAACCCUGGUAGUCC
rnacentral:rRNA from 1 species